AGGUGGCUUAUGACAAUCUCGACACUGUACCGGUUCUAUCAGACCUAUCUCACAACGUGCCGGGCGAAAUGGCUGUGCUGGCUCUCUGCCCGGCAGCGGAUAGCGUUAUUGCAGCAGGCGACGCAGUGGCAAAUAGCGGAAAUGUCGGAGGAAGAAUAUCGUCACUGGAUAUAGUCGCAGAGAACGAUAAGAGAAUAAUUCUGAGUAAUGGUGCAUUUCACCAGCCAGCGAAACUUUCCGCUGGCUUUUUUU
rnacentral:sRNA from 1 species